rnacentral:rRNA from 1 species
GAUGAACGCUGGCGGCGUGCCUAAUACAUGCAAGUCGAGCGAACGGACGAGAAGCUUGCUUCUCUGAUGUUAGCGGCGGACGGGUGAGUAACAUGUGGAUAACCUACAUAUAAGACUGGGUUAACUUCGGGAAUACGGAGCUAAUACCGGAUAAUAUUUUGAACCGCAUGGUUCAAAAGUGAAAGACGGUCUUGCUGUCACUUAUAGAUGGAUCCGCGCUGCUUUAGUUAGUUGGUAAGGUAACGGCUUACCAAGGCAACGAUGCAGAACCGACCUGCGAGGGUGAUCGGCCACACUGGAACUGAGACACGGUCCAUACUCCUACGGGAGGCAGCAGUGUGGAAUCUUCCGCAAUGGGCGAAAGCCUGACGCAACAACGCCGCGUGAGUGAUGAAGGUCUUCGGAUCGUAAAACUCUGUUAUUAGGUAAGAACAUGUGUGUAAGUAACUGUGCAGAUCUUGACGGUACCUAAUCAGAAAGCCACGGCUAACUACGUG